rnacentral:sRNA from 1 species
UUACAAAGUACACAGUGCGGAACGGCGG